GUGUUACUUUCAACAUAGAGAGACUCAUUCAGAAUUAAUCCUUUUUUCUUUUCUUUCUUCCUUUUUUUUUUUCUUUUUCUUUUUUUCCUUUUUUUUUUUUUUUUUUUUUCCUGAUGGUCAUUUGAAAACGAAGUAUAUUCAGGAAUGUGUCAGAAAAACAUAAAAGCUAAGAAGUAGUUGUAUAUGUGCAGGAUGACAUUCACCUAAAACUCUGCCCUUCAGAUUGUUAAUGAAAAAUGUUCUACUUCAAACUGAAAGAGAAAAACAUGACUCACACUGUUCGGGAUGUGAAAACAACUGAACUCAACAGAGAAAUCCAAACACCCCUCUGUGAAGUGUUUCUGGAGUUUAUCCCCUGCUGAAAGUCUCCUCCAAGCAUUAUUAAGCAAUCAACAGGCCCUCGCAACGUCUUCCCAUUUUAAGCUACCUAAUUUUCUGUUCACAGCUGCAUGUGAAACUUUCUUCUGUGUGCUGGUAGGUAGCAUCAAAAAAAAAAAAAAAAAACACCAAAAAAAUAAACAAACCUGCUUUUGUUCAGUCAUUUUAAUUUCUUUCUAGGUUUCUUCACAGUUUUCCUGUAAACUGUCAUAGUAGCAGAAGUCUGCAAACGAUGCUUCAGUGAGUAGAUGGGACCAUUUUUAAGGAACUUGUUUGCCCUAAAAUGUUCCCUUUUUGGCCUAGCACUACAGUGUUGGAUUAUACACAACCAUAGUAUGGAUACAAGAGACUAAAUAUUCUCAGCAUGAUCACUGGCCAUGGAGUGGGGGGAGAUGCUUGCAUUCAUUAGUCAGGUUUCCUCUAAUUGUUUUUCUCCACAUACACAAUUUGCAGGAAAUAAAUACAUUAAAAUUCAUAAGCA
rnacentral:lncRNA from 1 species